UCCAGACUCCUACGGGAGGCAGCAGUGGGGAAUAUUGGGCAAUGGGCGCAAGCCUGACCCAGCAACGCCGCGUGGAGGAAGAAGGCUUUCGGGUUGUAAACUUCUUUUAAGAGGGAAGAGAAGAAGACGGUACCUCUUGAAUAAGCCACGGCUAACUACGUGCCAGCAGCCGCGGUAAUACGUAGGGAGCGAGCGUUGUCCGGAUUUACUGGGUGUAAAGGGUGCGUAGGCGGCCCUGCAAGUCAGAAGUGAAAUCCAGGGGCUUAACCCGUGAACUGCUUUUGAAACUGCAGGACUUGAGUGGAGUAGAGGUAGGCGGAAUUCCCGGUGUAGCGGUGAAAUGCGUAGAGAUCGGGAGGAACACCAGUGGCGAAGGCGGCCUACUGGGCUUUAACUGACGCUGAAGCACGAAAGCGUGGGGAUCGAACAGGAUUAGAUACCCCAGUA
rnacentral:rRNA from 1 species